rnacentral:rRNA from 1 species
CUUUUCUUGUUAGUUUUUGAAGUAUGGCCUGCCCACUGACUUUUAUAGGUUGAAGGGCCGCGGUAUUUUGACCGUGCAAAGGUAGCAUAAUCAUUAGUUCUUUAAUUGUGAUCUGGUAUGAAUGGCUUGACGAGACAUAGGCUGUCUUAAUGGUAUUGUUUAUUGAAUUUAGUUUUUAAGUUAAAAUUCUUAGAUGUUUUUAUGGGACGAGAAGACCCUAUAGAGUUUGACAUCUAGUUUUCUUUUUUGUUGCGUUUGUUUAUCUAUUUUGAGUUGACUAGGUGUUUUGUUGGGGUGAUGAGAGGAAUAAAUUUUAACUCCUCUUUGAUUUUUUAUAUUUAUUUAUAUUUGUUUUGAUCCAUUUAUUUUGAUUAUAAGAUUAAAUUACC